CCUACGGGAGGCAGCAGUGGGGAAUAUUGCACAAUGGGGGAAACCCUGAUGCAGCGACGCCGCGUGAAGGAAGAAGUAUUUCGGUAUGUAAACUUCUAUCAGCAGGGAAGAAAAUGACGGUAACUGACGAAGAAGCCCCGGCUAACUACGUGCCAGCAGCCGCGGUAAUACGUAGGGGGCAAGCGUUAGCCGGAUUUACUGGGUGUAAAGGGAGCGUAGGCGGUAAUGCAAGUCAGAAGUGAAAGCCCGGGGCUCAACUCCGGGACUGCUUUUGAAACUGUGUUCCUAGAGUGCAGGAGAGGUAAGUGGAAUUCCUAGUGUAGCGGUGAAAUGCGUAGAUAUUAGGAGGAACACCAGUGGCGAAGGCGGCUUACUGGACUGUAAAUGACGCUGAGGCUCGAAAGCGUGGGGAGCAAACAGGAUUAGAUACCCGAGUAGUC
rnacentral:rRNA from 1 species